rnacentral:rRNA from 1 species
AAACUUUACAAUGCUGGCAACAGCGAUAAGGGAACCUCGAGUGCCAGGUUACAAAUCUGGCUGUCGAGAUGCCUAAAAAGCAUUUCAUAGCAAGGGCCGGGCAAGACCGGUGCCAGCCGCCGCGGUAACACCGGCGGCCCGAGUGGUAACCGCUUUUAUUGGGUCUAAAGGGUCUGUAGCCGGCCAAGUAAGUCCCUUGGGAAAUCUGGCAGCUCAACUGUCAGGCUGCUAGGGGAUACUGCUAGGCUUGGGACCGGGAGAGGUGAGAGGUACCUUGGGGGUAGGGGUGAAAUCUUGUGAUCCUCGGGGGACCACCAGUGGCGAAGGCGUCUCACCAGAACGGGUCCGACGGUAAGGGACGAAAGCUAGGGGCACGAACCGG